rnacentral:rRNA from 1 species
UUGACGGGGGCCCGCACAAGCGGUGGAGCAUGUGGUUUUAAUUCGAUGAUACGCGAGAAACCUUACCAGGGCUUGACAUAUACAGGAAUGUUGUAGAGAUACAGCAGCCGCUUGCGGUCUGUAUACAGGUGCUGCAUGGCUGUCGUCAGCUCGUGCUGUGAAGUGUUGGGUUAAGUCCCGCAACGAGCGCAACCCCUAUCAUCUGUUGCCAGCAUUUAAGGUGGGGACUCAGAUGAGACUGCCAGUGAUAAACUGGAGGAAGGUGGGGAUGACGUCAAAUCAUCAUGCCCCUUAUGACCUGGGCUACAAACGUGAUACAAUGGCUGGAACAAAGGGAUGCGAAGCAGUGAUGUGGAGCGAAACCCAUAAAAACAGUCUCAGUUCGGAUUGAAGUCUGCAACUCGACUUCAUGAAGUCGGAAUCGCUAGUAAUCGCGGAUCAGAACGCCGCGGUGAAUACGUUCUCGGGGUUU